rnacentral:lncRNA from 1 species
GGUACUCGAUUUGGUGCCAACUACCGAGUAGCCUGGAUCCCAGUUCUGGUUACAUUACCCUGUAAUCGGGACCUGAACCAAUCUUUGUGGUUUGGUUGAGGUUCCGGGCCAGGUACCAGGAAAUGUUCAGUCUGCUUUGUUAGUAUGAGAUGACACUUAUGCGCUUAUUCUUGAAAAUUUUAUUUGUCGCCCGCUCAGUUCUAUCUGCCUGGUCUCGAGCAUGACAUGAGUUUUCCGUUCACAGUAAGAAUCUGCCUUUUCUAAGUUUGGAUAUUCUUUAACGAAAAUACAAGUUGUCUCUUUUAUUUUUCUUCUUUUUGGUUACAGCAAGAGGCUAAAGCCUAAGCCAACAAGAGACCAUCCUGUUAUACAUUUCUUAUCAUCAAAUGAAGCAAGCCAUGAGGCGCAAGUUUGUCCAUUUUUUUUGCAUCUUUACGUUUUUAGGCUUUACCCUCAUUUUAGUCCCAAAAUUUUAAAUUUUAGUUCUAGCUCUGUAUCUUCCAACUCUAUGAAUAUCCAUAUUUGACUUCUCCUGUACUAUAAAGCUUUUCAUACUCUUUAGGCCGUUUCCUAUUAAAAAUGUCCAAGAAAUGCUUAAAAUUUCUGUAACCUGUUGACGCCUGAAAUAUCUAUAAACUUUUUGAAAG